CCUAACCCCCAAAUUGCUACCCCCUCUCUUCUUCCCUAACUGCAGUGAAGCCUGCCCCCAUCUCGCCACCGCGACCCGCACCGCCUGUGACGCUGCGCCACCCCAUCUCGCCGCCCCUGUCUACAUCACUAACCCUAGGCUCCGCGCUUCCCCUUCUCGCAGCCCCUGUCCUCGUCGCUCACCCUAGGCGCCGCGGUUUCCAUCUCGCCUGUCGUCUGCUAACCCUAGACGCGUUGCCUGGUCCCCGCUGCGCCACCUGCUCUCCGUCGCACAGCCUCCUUCAGCCUCGGCGUCUCCGUCCACAGACUCUGUAGCAGCAGUAGUUUCGAAGACCCAAUCGCUGCAAUUAGAACCCAAUUUCCAAAUAUUUCCAUUUAUUUUGCGAAAUUAAUUAAGGAAAGGGGCAGUUUACUUGAUCUUCGAAAGGCCAUUCUUCUGGAAACUUGAUCAAUGGUUUCAACUCGUCCUCUCUUCCUCUCUCUUCACCUGGAGCCAUUUUCUUCCUCUUCUUCCUCCGCCAAAAUCGUAUCUCUUCCCUUCCAACCCCUCCGUUCCAGAAAGCUGAAGAAUUCUAACCUCCGAAGUUCGUCGGCGAAGGCUAUGUACACUCCAGAGUUUUAUGCCCCGGAGAGGACCUCACGCCAUGGUAUUUAGGGAUGAUUUACAUAUCCCAUCAUCGCCAUACUUCCCAGCUUAUGCUCAAGGGGGCAGCCCCCCCCCCCCCUCCAAUGGUCCAAGAGCGUUUUAUGAGCAUUAUUAGCCAACUUUUCCAACAUGUAAGAUUGUCAUUCGCUUCAUUUUUCAUUAUGGUUUACUAGUCACUCUGUUUCUUCAUUUUAAUUCCAUGAAUGCAAUGAAUUUUUCUUUGACGUCGAGAUAUGUCUGUUGAUUUCCAUGUUCUUCUUUGAACAAAAUGUUGGCUGUAAAUCAUGAUAUUUUAAUGAAUAAAUAUUUUUUGUGUUAGCACUCACUGUGAACAAAAUGUUGGCUGUAAAUUUAUUCAAAAGAAGGAUUUCUGCUGCACUAAAGCAAGUCUUUGGAUACAACAGUGUAACAAAUAAGAGAUGGGAAAUCAUAACACUUCAGAGAUAGUAGGUAUGAUCAUUAAACUUGUGAUAUGAUCUUGUGGAAAAACCGCCUUGAUUUCUUUGUUUCUUAGAAGACGAGGAAGCCAAGAACGAGGCACCGGAAGGACUUAGUCGACCUGAUGUUGUGACAGUAGAGAAGCAGACAGUGGUUCAAAAAAAAUGCAACAGAAGCAGAAGCUGACAAAAUUUCUCCUGUUGAAAUACAUAAAGCACGAACGGCUCGGAUUUAGGGGAAGGAAGAUCCAAGUUGAGAGAUGAAGAGUAAGACCAACUAGAAGAUGAUUUGAGAGCUAAACUCCCUGCUAUCAUUCAAGACCUAAAUCAAAGUAGUCAAAUACUGAGUUCUAAUUACUGUAAAGUUAAUUGACUAAGUUUAUCUUCUUUUUUUUCUUUUUUUUUUUCUUGAGGAUAUCUUUUAUUUAUUAGAAAGACAUGAUUUUAUGAUAUUUCAUAAAUAUGCUUCGCCUCAA